rnacentral:lncRNA from 1 species
GUGGGAGGCUUUUUGUGUUAAUUGUGAUGUUAGGGAAUUUUAUUCUUUUAUUCGAACCACCGGCCUUGUGGAUCUUGAUUUUCAUGGGCCUGCUUAUACCUGCUGUAAUCAUCAGCUUGGUCUUACGAGGGUAUGGGAAGGAAUUGACCGAGCUUUUACUUCGAACUAUUGGCUGGAGUUAUAUCUUGAGACUAUGGUUACACACCUUAUUGG